GACGGAGGGUGCUAGCGUUGUUCGGAAUGACUGGGCGUAAAGGGCUCGUAGGUGGCCAACUAAGUCAGACGUGAAAUCCCUCAGCUUAACUGGGGAACUGCGUCUGAUACUGGAUGGCUUGAGUUUGGGAGAGGGAUGCGGAAUUCCAGGUGUAGCGGUGAAAUGCGUAGAUAUCUGGAGGAACACCGGUGGCGAAGGCGGCAUCCUGGACCAACACUGACACUGAGGAGCGAAAGCCAGGGGAGCAAACGGG
rnacentral:rRNA from 1 species